rnacentral:misc_RNA from 1 species
GAUGAAGAACGUAGCGAAAUGCGAUACUUGGUGUGAAUUGCAGAAUCCCGUGAACCAUCGAGUCUUUGAACGCAAGUUGCGCCUCAAGCCAUUAGGUUGAGGGCACGUCUGCCUGGGCGUCACAUAUCGUUGCCUGAUGCCAGUUUCCUCGUGAUGGGUGACUGUGCAGGGCGAAUGAUGGCUUCCCGUGAGCAUUGUUGCCUCAUGGUUGGUUGAAAAUUGAGUCCUUGGUAGGGAGCGCCGUGAUAGAUGGUGGUUGAGUGACGAACGAGACCCAAUCAUGUGAGACCCCUACCGAAUUUGGCCUUCAUGACCCACAUGCGUCUUUGGAACGCUCAUGACGAGACCUCAGGUCAGGCGGGGCUACGCGCUGAGUUUAAGCAUAUCAAUAAGCGGAGGA